AUGGUUCCGACAAUUGUCGUUUGGGGUCAGGCGAGUGAACGCUUUUGUCCGCUUUUGUUUUGGGUCAGUAUGGCAUCCAACACGAGCUUACCCACAACCAGAGUUGUUGGGGCUUCGCCGGCCGAGACGAACGACGCCUGCGAGGCCGAGCGCCACCACGGAGGAGCUCUUGCUCCUGGUCUGCCCAUCGAUUGUCUGGGUGGUGGUGGAGCCUCCGACGGAUGCACCCGCCAUGGCCGAGGUGUUGUGGGGGCACCGGGGUCAUGUACCUCCGAGAAACACCUAGGCCGAGGUGCUACAGAAGAACACUGUCGGUGGGGGGUGCGACACGAGCGGCGAACUGCUACACCUGUCGUUUGGCGCGACGGCAAGCAAGCGGAGCUCACGACUGUGUCUGGUGCACCGUGCACGGCGGCUUGGACGUGCGCGGGGGCGGGGUCCCCGAGCUGCACCACAGACCGGGUGUUUCUCGGCGAUACCUAG
rnacentral:rRNA from 1 species